CGGCGCGCUCGCGGAAGUCCACGCCGAUGGUGGCCUCCGUGCGCUCCGGGAAGCGGCCCGCGCAGAAGCGCAGGAGCGCUCUGUGAAGGAGCCAGGCCUUGAGGUGAAGAAAGACAACGCUGGGAUGCAGAGUGUGUCCUUCAUUCUGUGAGAGGAGGACUUUUGUCAGGAGGGGGAAUGAAGGAAAGGCACAAAGAAUGCUCCUGUCCCAGGGAAGAAGCAAAGUACUGCCUAGGGUGUGUUGCCCUAUCCCUGCUCUGGAGCAGUAGCAUGGACAUUUCUUGUUCCGGUGAGUAGCAAACUGGUCUGCGGUCACUGUCCCCCAGCAUCUGAAUAGGUCGUGAAAUACUGCUGGGUUUAUUUCCCAUUGGUGGUUGUGUGGGAACUUGCUACUUAACCCUGGUUUACACUCCGAGUUUAGGUCGAAUUUUGUAGUGUUACAUUGAAUUAAUCCUGCACCAUUCCACACAACGAAGCCAUUUACUUCAACAUAAAGGGCUCUUAAAAUUGA